rnacentral:siRNA from 1 species
UUAUUUGAUGGCGCACCACGAUA